rnacentral:rRNA from 1 species
AAUUGAAGAGUUUGAUCAUGGCUCAGAUUGAACGCUGGCGGCAGGCCUAACACAUGCAAGUCGAACGGUAACAGGAAGCAGCUUGCUGCUUUGUUGACGAGUGGCGGACGGGUGAGUAAUGUCUGGGAAACUGCCUGAUGGAGGGGGAUAACUACUGGAAACGGUGGCUAAUACCGCAUAACGUCGCAAGACCAAAGAGGGG